rfam:Apaloderma vittatum contig21912, whole genome shotgun sequence.
GGACCGGUUAGCUCAGUGGUUUGAGCGCGGUGCUGACAAGGACCAACACCAAAGUUGCGGGUUCGAUUCCUGCUCAGUCCC